UUAUUAACCAUGGAACACACUCUUUUUGCAUGCAUGAAAAUCUCUUUCUUUUCAUGAAAAGCAAUUGUGAGCAGAAUGGAGCAGGUAUUUCCUCAGAGGGGAGUCACUCUAUCAGACAGAGUUAGUCUUUUAUAUUUUGUGACUCUGUCUUUCGAGCUAAGGCAGAGCAAUUGUUCUUUAGCACCCCUUCCUCGCUUUUUCGCUAUAUACAGAAGUAUCUUCGUAUAGAUUAGAUAUAGAUGAUUUCCCACUUGGACUUAGUAGUUGCUGAGAACAUUGAAUUUGGUCUAUCACUUUUCCUUUUUUUUCUGAGCAAAAGUAUCUUCAAAGAACUAAAAAAAAUGUAAUUCUAACAUGAGGACGGUCUGCUAUCUUAUCUUCUGUUUUCCAAUUAUAUCUGCCAUCUCAGUUUUAAGAUCAACAAAGAAGGUGGAUAAAGCACUUGUGAAAUUAUCAGCCACACCAAGACAACAGUAUUCUCAGAGGUAGGAGUUAAGGGGUCUCUGAAAUAAGAGAUUAAUUUAUUUUUAAUCUCUGUCUUUUUUAAGGAUUGGAUUUUUGACCAAUCCAUUUCAACAGGAAUGAUCUCAGAGAUAUAAUGUGAGGUGUGCAGCUCUCUCAAAUGUUGAUCAUUAUAUUUUAUAUCAUUUUGUUAAUUAAUUUAUAUUGCUUUUUCUUACCGAGUUUUAGCAUCUUCAUGUCCUACAAGGAGAUGAGUUGAUAGAUAUCAGGUUAUCUUAGACUACACAUUCCUAGAAUAAACUUAUAUUCUUCAGUGAACUUCUCUUUUUACUUAGGAAGGUUAGGAAACGUAACUAGAUUAUGCAAAUCUGAUCUGAACAAAGAUUUGAAGAUAUAAAACUAAGGGUUUUGCUCUGUCACUCAGGCUGGAGUGCAGUGGUGUAAACACUGCAGUUGUGACCUACUGAACUCAAGUCAUCCUCCUGCCGUAGCCUCCAGAGUAUGUGGGACUACUGGCACAGACCAUCAUGCCUGGUGGAUACUGUGAAUUUUUUCUUUAGUUGCUUUUAAGGUCGUUUUGAUAUCUAGUAAUUUCCUAUAACGAGUACGGUUGUAGAAACCCUUUUAUUCACCCUGUUAUUGGUACACUGUUCUUCCUGCAUCUGAGACAGUGUGUUUUAUUAGACAGGUGAAAGUCUAAGCUUUUAUUCCUUUUGAUAUUGCCUUAACUCAGCCUCUACAUUUUCUCAUUUUGGAACUUCUGCUAGCUAUAUAUAGAAUCUCUUUAUUCUGACCUCCAUGUCUCUUAAUGCUGUUUUUCUAUUUUACGUUUUAUCUUUUCAUGCUGUAUUCUGAGUGAUUUCCUCAGAUCUUUCAACUCCCUUACA
rnacentral:lncRNA from 1 species